AGGGACGAAGCGGGUGGGGGCUGGCUCAGCAACAGCCGCCGCGGCUCCAGCCGCCCGCCCGCUCCCUAGCUUGCUCAGUCGCUCAGUAGCUCCCGGUGCUGGCCGCCCGCCGCCCGGCUGCUCGCAGCUCCGGCUCCUGCCCGGCGCUCUGGCCCGGCUCGGGCUCCGGAGGACAGGACCGCGCGACUGGCCGGCCGAGCCCGUGGCCGGCCGCCGGAGCAGGGCCCGGGAUGGUGCUCUCCCUGACGGGGCUCGUGGCCUUCUCCUUCCUGCAAGCCACCCUUGCCCUGAACCCUGAGGACCCCAACGUGUGCAGCCACUGGGAAAGCUACGCCGUGACUGUCCAGGAAUCGUACGCGCACCCCUUCGAUCAGAUCUAUUACACGCGAUGCACAGACAUCCUCAACUGGUUCAAGUGCACCAGGCACCGGAUCAGUUAUAAGACGGCAUAUCGGAGAGGCCUCCGGACCAUGUACCGGCGGAGGUCCCAGUGCUGCCCUGGCUACUAUGAGAACGGAGACUUCUGUAUACCCCUGUGUACGGAGGAGUGUGUGCACGGCCGCUGCGUUUCCCCGGACACCUGCCACUGCGAGCCCGGCUGGGGAGGGCCCGACUGCUCCAGCGGCUGCGACAGCGACCACUGGGGCCCCCACUGCAGCAACCGGUGCCAGUGCCAGAAUGGCGCCCUGUGUAACCCCAUCACAGGCGCCUGUGUGUGCGCCGCCGGCUUCCAUGGAUGGCGCUGCGAGGAGCUCUGCUCACCUGGCACCCACGGCAAGGGAUGCCAGCUGCCGUGCCAGUGCCGCCACGGCGCCAGCUGUGACCCCCGCACCGGCGAGUGCCUCUGCGCGCCUGGCUAUACUGGCGUCUACUGCGAGGAGUUGUGCCCUCCUGGGAGCCACGGAGCUCACUGUGAGCUGCGCUGCCCCUGCCAGAAUGGAGGUACCUGCCACCACAUCACUGGCGAGUGUGCCUGCCCCCCAGGCUGGACGGGAGCAGUGUGUGCCCAGCCCUGCCCACCAGGGACAUUUGGCCAGAACUGCAGCCAGGACUGUCCUUGCCACCAUGGAGGGCAGUGUGACCACGUGACUGGACAGUGCCACUGUACAGCUGGAUACAUGGGGGACAGGUGCCAAGAGGAGUGCCCCUUCGGGACCUUCGGCUUCCAGUGCUCUCAGCGCUGCGACUGCCACAAUGGGGGGCAGUGCUCACCCACCACGGGCGCCUGCGAGUGUGAGCCUGGCUACAAGGGUCCGCGCUGCCAGGAGCGGCUGUGCCCCGAGGGUCUGCAUGGCCCAGGCUGCACCCUCCCCUGCCCCUGUGAUGCUGACAACACUAUCAGCUGCCACCCAGUAACUGGAGCUUGUACCUGCCAGCCAGGCUGGUCUGGCCGCCACUGCAAUGAAUCCUGCCCUGCUGGCUACUAUGGCGAUGGCUGCCAGCUGCCUUGCACCUGUCAGAACGGCGCCGACUGCCACAGCAUCACUGGGGGCUGCACUUGUGCCCCAGGCUUCAUGGGAGAGGUCUGUGCCAUUUCCUGUGCAGCAGGGACUUACGGCCCCAACUGCUCGUCCAUCUGUAGCUGUAACAAUGGUGGCACCUGCUCCCCAGUAGAUGGCUCCUGUACCUGCAAGGAAGGGUGGCAGGGCCCAGACUGCAACCUGCCAUGUCCCAGUGGGACGUGGGGCCUGAACUGCAAUGAGAGCUGCACCUGUGCCAAUGGGGCAGCAUGCAGCCCCAUAGAUGGCUCUUGCUCCUGCACCCCUGGCUGGCUGGGAGAUACCUGUGAGCUGCCUUGCCCGGAUGGCACAUUUGGGCUGAACUGCAGUGAACACUGUGACUGCAGCCAUGCUGAUGGGUGUGACCCCGUCACAGGCCACUGCUGCUGCCUGGCCGGAUGGACAGGCAUCCGCUGUGACAGCACAUGUCCACCUGGCCGCUGGGGCCCCAACUGCUCCGUCUCCUGCAGCUGUGAGAAUGGAGGCUCCUGCUCUCCAGAGGAUGGGAGCUGCGAGUGUGCCCCUGGCUUCCGAGGACCCUUAUGCCAGAGAAUCUGUCCCCCUGGGUUCUAUGGCCACAGCUGCGCCCAGCCAUGCCCCCUCUGCGUGCACAGCAGCGGGCCCUGCCACCAUGUCAGCGGUAUCUGUGAGUGCCUCCCAGGAUUCUCUGGAGCCCUCUGCAACCAAGUGUGUGCUGGAGGACACUUUGGGCAGGACUGUGCCCAGCUCUGUUCCUGUGCCAACAACGGGACCUGCAGCCCUAUCGAUGGCUCCUGCCAGUGCUUCCCUGGAUGGAUUGGCAAGGACUGCUCACAGGCUUGCCCACCCGGGUUCUGGGGCCCUGCCUGCUUCCACACAUGCAGCUGCCACAACGGGGCAAGCUGCAGCGUCGAGGAUGGGGCAUGCCACUGCACCCCUGGCUGGACUGGACUCUUCUGCACACAGCGCUGCCCAGCAGCAUUUUUUGGGAAGGACUGUGGACGCGUAUGCCAGUGUCAGAAUGGCGCCAGCUGUGACCACAUCAGUGGCAAGUGCACCUGCCGCACAGGCUUCACUGGACAACAUUGUGAGCAGAGAUGUGCCCCAGGAACCUUUGGCUACGGCUGUCAGCAGCUAUGUGAGUGCAUGAACAACUCCACUUGUGACCAUGUCACCGGCACCUGUUACUGCAGCCCUGGCUUCAAAGGAAUCAGGUGUGACCAAGCUGCCCUCAUGAUGGAGGAGCUGAAUCCCUACACCAAGAUCAGCCCAGCCCUGGGUGCAGAGCAGCACUCGGUGGGUGCUGUCACAGGCAUCAUGCUGCUGUUAUUCCUCAUUGUGGUGCUGCUGGGCCUGUUUGCCUGGCAUCGGCGGCGGCAGAAAGAGAAGGGCCGAGACCUAGCUCCCCGCGUCUCCUACACACCUGCUAUGAGGAUGACCAGCACUGACUACUCCCUCUCAGAUUUGUCUCAAAGUAGCAGCCAUGCCCACUGCUUUUCCAAUUCCAGCUACCACGCACUGGCGUGUGGGGGGCCUGCCACCAGCCAGGCCAGCACUCUGGACAGGAACAGCCCCACCAAGCUCAGUAACAAGUCCCUUGACAGAGACACAGCAGGCUGGACCCCUUACAGCUAUGUGAACGUGUUAGACUCCCAUUUCCAGAUCAGUGCCCUGGAGGCCAGGUACCCACCCGAGGACUUCUACAUUGAACUUAGACAACUCAGCCGCCCCGCUGAGCCACACUCACCAGGUGUUUGUGGAAUGGAUAGACGUCAGAACACAUACGUUAUGGACAAAGGCUUCAAAGAUGCCAACUAAAUGUCUUCGGAAAUGUAAAGCGUCAUUAUCCAACCAAUUAGUACGAGCUAAAUUGAUUAUAAAAUCUGAAAUAAAGUUGAUCUACCUGCCCCAGAAGCCUCCUGUCGUUGCACUAGUGAGGAAUGCCACCCUGCACCUGCUGGCUUUCUGGGGGCACGAGGAAUGAAAAUGAUAUGCAGUGUCAAUAUUGUACGGCACUCCAACCUCAAGAGAUCUGGCUUCUCUGCUCUUAGAGGCAGAGGACAAAUCCCUAACACAUGGGAACUGCAAGCUGGAUCAUCCCUCUAAGAAGUCUACAGGUGAAGCCAAAGAUGAAAGGUCAGGUCCUGCCCUAGGUUUAAAUGCCAGAAUAUGUGAAAUAGGGGGCUUUGCAACUCUGUCACUUGCCAGUCUGUUUAUUAACUGCGACUUAACUGUGAGCUCUCCAAGGCUCAGUUUCCUCAUCUGCAAGGUUGGGAUAAUAAUGCCUAUCCUAUUGUCUAAUACCUGUCCUACUGUCUAACAAAGUUACCAUGAUUAACCAAUAAAAUCAUAGAUGGGAAGUGUUUUUGCAUAUUGUAAAGAUUAUACUAAUGUAAUGGGGUUUUCCUUCCGUCUCAGAGGUCUAUUUAAAAGAGCCUAAGGUUGGGUGUGGUGGCUGACGUCUGUGAUCUCAGCACUUCGAAAGGCAGGCAGAUCACCUGAGGUCAGGAGUUCAAGACCAGUCUGGCCAACAUGGCAAAACCUUGUCUCUACUAAACAUACAAAAACUAGCUGCGCAUGGUGGCACACACCUAUAAUCCCAGCUACUUGGGCAUGAGAAUUGCCUGAACCCGGGAGGCAAAGGUUGCAGUGCACCAACAUUGCUCCACUGCAGUCCAGCCUGGGUUACAGAGCCAGACUGUGUCUCAAAAACAAAAAUAAAUUUUUUUUUUUUUUUUUUUUAAAAAGGCCAGAUAGGCCAGGCGCAGUGGCUCAAGCCUGUAAUCCCAGCACUUUGGGAGGCCAAGGCGGGUGGAUCACGAGGUCAAGAGAUCGAGAUCAUUCUGGUCAACAUGGUGAAACCCCAUCUCUACGAAAAAUACAAAAAAUUAGCUGGGCAUGGUGGCAUGUGCCUGUAAUCCCAGCUACUCAGGAGGCUGAGGGAGGAGAAUUGCCUGAACCCAGGAGGCGGAGGUUGCGGUGAGCCGAGAUCGUGCCAUUGCACUCCAGCCUGGGUAACAAGAGCGAAACUCUGUCUCAAAGAAAAAAAAAAAGCCAGGCAUGGUGGUUCAGCACUUUGAGGGAUAGGCAGAUCACCUGAGGUCAGGAGUUCAAGACCAGUCUGGCCAACGUGGCAACACCCUGUCUCUACUAAACAUACAAAAACUAGCUGCGCAUGGUGGCACACACCUAUAAUCCCAGCUACUUGGGAAGCUAAGGCAUGAGAAUUGCCUGAAGUGGAGCACUAAGAUUGCUCCACUGCAGUCCAGCCUAGGUUAUAGAGCAAGACUGUGUCUUAAAAACAAAAAUAAAAAAUUUUUUUUAAAAAAGGCCAGGCAUGGUGGCUCAGCACUUUGAGGGAUAGGCAGAUGACCUGAGGUCGGGAGUUCAAGACCAGCCUGGGCAACAUGGUGAAACCCUGUCUCUAUUAAAAGUACAAAAUUAGCCAGGCCUGGUAGCACACACCUGUGAUCCCAGCUACUCGGGAGGCUGAGGCAGGGGAAUCGCUUGAACCUGGAAGGUGGAAGUUGCAGUGAGCCAAGAUCAUGCCAUUGCACUCCAUCUAGCCUGGGCAACAAGAGAGAAACCACCUCAAAAAAAAAAAAAAAAAAAAAAAAAAAGAGCUUAAGCUAAACUGAAAGAGAGAUGACAGGAAAGGUCCCAGUGGAUAUCCUGUAUCUAACAGUGCACCAGAAUCACCUGGAAAGCUUAUUAAAAAUACAGAUGUUCACACUCCAUCUCAAGACUGAUGCAGAUCUAGAGUGGGGCCCUGGAAUCUGCAUCUGUGAAGAGCACCCUCGGUAUCCUUAUGAAGCUUACUCCCCAACUAUCAUGUGGAAACCAGUAGUCUAAACUAAUCCAGAUAUACCUGAUUAUUCUAGUCUUUCAGACCUAGACUUACAUACAUCAAGACACAACCAUUCCUUAACCAAGAACAGCUAGUCGACUACAGUCCUUUUGGGGAGAUGGUUAUUAGAUGUGGAGGUGAGCUCAGGGUAGGGGUGGUGGUGAGUAUUGUGUUCUGAACAAGAGCAGUGAGGCUGACUCACUAUCGGCCUUUGUUAGGGUAUGUGCAGCCCAAGAGAACUGUCUGAGGACAAAAGGUCAUCCCCAGCCUCCCAGUCAGACCACAGACAUUACUUCCUUGGAAACAUUAUUUUGGCAAUUUUCUGUGAGUUUUGACUAAAACCAUCCAAAUGAAGAGAAGCACCAUUACAGUAGAUUACAUGAAAGAAUCCGUGUGCAGUUCUAGUACUUGUUCCUUGAAUAGCAGUGAAAAUCCUUACGCCACAAUUAAGGACCCACCCAUCCUCACCUGCAAGCUUCCAGAAAGCAGCUAUGUAGAAAUGAAGUCGCCUGUGCACAUGGGGUCUCCGUACACAGAUGGGCCAUCCUUGUCGACAUCUAAUAAAAAUAUAUAUGAAGUUGG